UACGUAGGGUGCAAGCGUUGUCCGGAAUUAUUGGGCGUAAAGAGCUCGUAGGCGGUUUGUCGCGUCGAAUGUGAAAACCCGGGGCUCAACCCCGGGCCUGCAUUCGAUACGGGCAGACUAGAGUUCGGUAGGGGGAGUCUGGAAUUCCUGGUGUAGCGGUGAAAUGCGCAGAUAUCAGGAGGAACACCGGUGGCGAAGGCGGGUCUCUGGGCCGAAACUGACGCUGAGGAGCGAAAGCGUGGGGAGCAAACAGG
rnacentral:rRNA from 1 species